AGUCUUUAAAAUUCAGAUGGUUAUCCGUUUACGAUUAUAGUUUAAGAGACCAUUUGAUUUUCAGGUCUAUUGAAUGCUAAUAGGUAAAAUAGAAUUAUAGUGAAAGUAAAUAAAAAUAUAUUUUUAUGAUUUUCAAUGUGAUUGUAAAAAAUAUAUAUUAUAUGAGAAAUAUAAUAUUACAUACAGAAAUUAUUGUAGUUUUUGUUCUUGGAUACAGCACAAUUUUCAUUCAGAGAGAGAGCUUAAAUAAUAAUUCUAAUAUAAUUAUGGAGCUUUUGUUUAUUUAUUUUUGAUUACUAUUCAAGAUUUUUAAAUUUAUUUUAAAAUUAUCAAAAUAUCUUUUAAAAUCCCAAACUCUCUUGGUAAAUUCUAAAACUUUUGAAAUAUUUGAAAGAAUUUUUAAAAAUCAAUAAAAAUAUUUUAAUUAAUUAUAAGUAUAUUAGGUGUUUUUUAAAAUUUUAAAAAAUAUUUUAAAUAUUAUUUUUUAUAAUUAAUUUUUUUAUUUAUUUUAAUCUGCAUCGUAGUAAAAUUGG
rnacentral:lncRNA from 1 species